rnacentral:tRNA from 1 species
GGGCUCGUGGUCUAGGGGUUAUGACACCGCCCUUACAUGGCGGGGAUCGCCGGUUCAAAUCCGGCCGAGCCCA